CCUACGGGUGGCAGCAGUGGGGAAUAUUGCACAAUGGGGGAAACCCUGAUGCAGCAACGCCGCGUGAGUGAAGAAGUAUUUCGGUAUGUAAAGCUCUAUCAGCAGGGAAGAGAAGGACGGUACCUGACUAAGAAGCCCCGGCGAACGACGUGCCAGCAGCCGCGGUAAUACGUAGGGGGCGAGCGUUAUCCGGAUUUACUGGGGUGAAAGGGAGCGUAGAAGGUUCUGCAAGUCUGAAGUGAAAGCCCGUGGCUUAACCGCGGAACGGCUGUGGAAACGGUGGAACUGGAGUGCUGGAGAGGCAAGCGGCAUUCCUCUUGUCGCGGUGCAAUGCGUAGAUAUUCGGAGGCCCACCAGUGGCGAAGGCGGCUUGCUGGACAGUAACUGCCGUUGAGGCUCGAAAGCGUGGGGCGCAACCAGGAUUAGAUACCCUGGUAGUC
rnacentral:rRNA from 1 species